rfam:Eubacterium sp. 68-3-10 unitig_0:quiver, whole genome shotgun sequence.
GUCUGGGUCCUGCGCAAUAGGAUGCCGUGAACCUUGUCAGGUCCGGAAGGAAGCAGCAAUAAGCGGAAGUUCUUAUGUGCCGCAGAUAAGCCUUUUCCUA